rnacentral:rRNA from 1 species
AUUGAACGCUAGCGGGAUGCCUUACACAUGCAAGUCGAACGGAGUGGCGAACGGGUGAGUAAUGUAUCGGAACGUGCCCCGUAGCGGGGGAUAACUACGCGAAAGCGUAGCUAAUACCGCAUACUAUUGGAGCGGCCGCCAUCGGAUUAGCUCGUUGGUGGGGUAACGGCUCACCAAGGCGACGAUCCGUACCUGGUUUGAGAGGACGACCAGCCACACUGGGACUGAGACACGGCCCAGACGCCUACGGGAGGUGUCAGUGGGGAAUUUUGGACAAUGGGGGAAACCCGGAUCCAGCCAUCCCGCGUGAGUGAUGAAGGCCUUCGGGUUGUAAAGCACGUUUGUCAGGAAAGCGGUACCUGCAGAAUAAGCACCGGCUAACUACGUGCCAGCAGCCGCGGUAAUUC